CCUACGGGUGGCAGCAGUGGGGGAUAUUGCACAAUGGCGGAAACCCUGAUGCAGCGACGCCGCGUGGGUGAUGAAGUAUUUCGGUAUGUAAAGCCCUAUCAGCAGGGAAGAAAGAAGACGGUACCUGACUAAGAAGCCCCGGCUAACUACGUGCCAGCAGCCGCGGUAAUACGUAGGGGGCGAGCGUUAUCCGGAUUCACUGGGGGUAAAGGGAGCGUAGACGGCCGUGCAAGCCAGGGGUGAAAGCCCGGGGCCCAACCCCGGGACUGCGCUUGGAACUGUGCGGCUGGAGUGCGGGAGGGGCAGGCGGAAUGCCUGGUGUAGCGGUGAAAUGCGUAGAUAUCAGGAGGAACACCGGCGGCGAAGGCGGCCUGCUGGACCGCGACUGACGUUGAGGCUCGAAAGCGUGGGGAGCGAACAGGAUUAGAUACCCCUGUAGUC
rnacentral:rRNA from 1 species